rnacentral:rRNA from 1 species
AGCGGACGCUGGCGGCAGGCUUUACACAUGCAAGUCGAACGCCCGUUCGGGGGAGUGGCAGACGGGUGAGUAACGCGUGGGAAUUUGCCUUUUGGUGGGGAAUAAGGCAGGGAAACUUGCGCUAAUACCGCAUAAGUACGGUAGGGGAAAGAUUUAUCGCCAAAAGAUAAGCCCGCGUCUGAUUAGCUAGUUGGUGAGGUAAUGGCUCACCAAGGCGACGAUCAGUAGCUGGUCUGAGAGGAUGACCAGCCACACUGGGACUGAGACACGGCCCAGACUCCUACGGGAGGCAGCAGUGGGGAAUAUUGGACAAUGGGCGCAAGCCUGAUCCAGCCAUGCCGCGUGAGUGAUGAAGGCCUUAGGGUUGUAAAGCUCUUUCGUGUGGGAAGAUAAUGACUGUACCACAAGAAUAAGUCCCGGCUAACUUCGUGCCAGCCGCCGCGGUAA